ACUCCUGGUGGCAACCAGACUUGUGCACAGAGGAGAGAGGUCAUGCUCGGAGCCCAGCGUCCCACGUCCACAGGACAGCCUCCUCCUCCUCCUCCUCUGGGCGUCACUAAAUACGGCUGUCCCCUGCCUCAGAUCUGGCCUGGACAGCCUGGGGACAUCUGCUUGCCAAAAGGAGGGACCAGCCCCCAGGAAGCCCAGAGCUCGGCAGGGCUGGUCCCUGCCAUGCGGCAACACCUCGGUCACCUCACCACGGGCAUCAAGGGAAGUAGAAGGGUCCCGUUCCGCCAGCAGGGAGCGGCAGAGUUGCACUCAGUCAAGCCAUACCUUUCUCAUCCUCCAACGUCCCAGUGGGGGUCAGCCUGACUAGGAAGUCACUUCCUCCCUCGUGCCAGAGCUGGCCUCUCUUGACUGCCUAUUGUCUAAUUCUUCCUGGACACAGCUUCUCUCUGAUGACUACAAAGUUGUAAAUGUCUGAGGUGUGGUUGCAUAGCACCUGUAUUUCCCAAGAUGGCUACACAAAUAAAAGAACCAUGGUGGGAUCCAUGGUCUAGCA
rnacentral:lncRNA from 1 species